rfam:Ovis aries breed Texel chromosome 1, whole genome shotgun sequence.
UCCCUGGUGGCUCAGAUGGUAAAGUGCCUGUCUGCAGUGUGGGAGACCCAGGUUCAAUCCCUGGAUUGGGAC